UACGUAGGUGGCAAGCGUUGUCCGGAUUUACUGGGCGUAAAGAGCGCGCAGGCGGUCGUUCAAGUCGAGUGUGAAAGCCCCCGGCUCAACUGGGGAGGGUCACUCGAUACUGAUCGACUCGAAGGCAGAAGAGGGAAGCGGAAUUCCCGGUGUAGUGGUGAAAUGCGUAGAUAUCGGGAGGAACACCAGUGGCGAAGGCGGCUUUCUGGUCUGCUCUGACGCUGAGGCGCGAAAGCUAGGGUAGCAAACGGG
rnacentral:rRNA from 1 species